rnacentral:sRNA from 1 species
UGGAGGUCCCCUGUUUAUCCACAGAAGUGGUUCAGCACAGACAGUAGCGGUGCAAGCUUUCCCACACUUGCCUGUCAAGAAGUCUCAGCACUGACACAGAAGUACCACUUCUAGGAGUACAAGAUAGCAUUUCAGCAUAGGCUGAA